UAUGGGGCCCUGGCCCAAGGCCUUCAGGGGCUGGAGAAGACCCUGCGUGACAGUGAGGAGGUGCAGCGAGCCCACACCACUCGCUGCCUGCAGCUGCUGGCCCAGGAGAUCCGGGACAGAUCCUGACCAAGAUGAAGCAGCAGGGUCACGAGACAACUGCCCGGCCGGAGACUGAAGAGAUACCGCAGGGAGCCAGUGGCUGCUGGAAGGAUGACCUCCAGAAGGAACUGAGUGAUAUAUGGUGAUGCCCAGCCCACAGUCUGACCCCUGACCCUCCUCUGAACCCCUUCCCCCAACGGGAUCUGGCAGCGACCACCAGAACCUGGAGCCCACCUGAGUCCAGACCUCCCUCACCCCCUAGGACUCACCCCCACCACGGCCCCCAACCUUAGCCCUACUGCUGUCCACACCCUGAGCAAUGUGGAGUCUCCCAGCUCCUCAUCUUCCUGCAGGUCUGCUGUGCACGUGCUGCAGAACUCCAUAGACAGCCUCACCAUGUGCUCGGGGGCCGCUCUCAAGGCCUCGAGCCUAAGAGGCCACAAGGGGCACUGGUGUCUGAGCCCUCCACUCCCCUCCUGGGACUCUGACUCCGACUCUGACCAGGACCUCUCCCAGCCACCUUUCAGCAAGAGCGGCAACUCCUUCCCAGCUGGUG
rnacentral:sRNA from 1 species